rnacentral:tRNA from 1 species
GAACAUGUAGCCAAAUUGGUAAGGCAGAAGUCUGCAAAACUUCUAACUGCGGGUUCGAAUCCCGCCAUGUUCU